rnacentral:rRNA from 1 species
GUAUCACCGAACUGAAUAUAUAGGUUUGGUGAAGCGAACCCGGGGAACUGAAACAUCUCAGUACCCGGAGGAAAAGACAUCAACAGAGAUUCCCGUAGUAGUGGCGAGCGAACCGGGACCAGGCCAGUGCUUCUUCGUCAGUUAACCGAACACUUUGGAAAGAGUGGCCAUAGCGGGUGACAGCCCCGUAGGUGAAAACGAUCGAAGAAGACUCGAGUAGGGCGGGACACGUGAAAUCCUGUCUGAACAUGGGGGGACCACCCUCCAAGCCUAAGUACUCCUCAACGACCGAUAGCGAACCAGUACCGUGAGGGAAAGGUGAAAAGCACCCCGACGAGGGGAGUGAAACAGUACCUGAAACCGAACGCCUACAAUCAGUUGGAGGGUCUUUACGGCCUGACAGCGUACCUUUUGUAUAAUGGGUCAUCGACUUGGUCUCACAAGCAAGCUUAAGCCGUUAGGUGUAGGCGCAGCGAAAGCGAGUCUGAAUAGGGCGACUGAGU